UCCAUUAUUUCCUUCUUUUCCUUUGCGUUUUCCCUUUAGAAAAAUCCUCCCCAUCACUUCACUAUUACUCAUAUACUAUCUUUCUUCUUUUAAAUCCUUCCUUAUAAUAGUCCUUGGAGUUUAUUUAGAGUAAUGAACGUUGCAUUAUUCUCUGUUUUAUCAACAUUUGGCUUCGAUCCUCAGAAUACUUGGAACGUGACAGGUAAUUGGCUUAGCUGCUUCUGGUUGGUCUCUAAUUUUUACCAAACAAAUUUACUAGUAUUUGAUUUUUCAUUGCAUUUGUUUCAAGAUAGUGUUGACUUUUAUUUUCUAUUUUUAUUGUUGAUAAGGUUUUAUGAAUUGUAUUUACUCUUAUAAUCAGUUAUUUUUUAAUAGAUGAAGUUUCCUUGUGUUUGCCUACUUGAAUUUCUUACUGCAGAUCGCAUGGAAAGUAAUGUACCGUGGGCACCACAAAUAUGAAGAGAGAAGAUAGAUCAACUAAUCAAGAUUGAAGGUAUGACACUAUUUUCUCCUUUCGUCCUACUUGUGCAAAUAUACAAAAGUAUAUAUAUACAACAAUAUCCAUGUGGAUUACUUAACUCUUAAACAGGGUGCAUACUGGGUUCUUCUGUGGGAAAGAAAAGGAAAAACAUAAUAUCUUAUUGUGUAGAGUUACUAAAUCGGUAACUACAAGGAUUAAUUUUAGUUUCUUGUAUCCAGCCAAAGUCGUGUAACAUGUAUGCAGUUCAAUAUUUGCACAAUUGCACUGAUAAUUCAGAAAUCGACAAGCAUUUAUAUAUUCUUUAAAGUUGUCUAACAUGUAGCACCACUCCAGUGAUAUUUUUCGAGAGCUCGAGCAAACACUUAUGCCUUGGAUAGAUCCGUUUGAGUCCAUAAUAUCGUCAUUUUUUCCUCCAUUGAUUGAUUUUUGGCUCAACACAUUUUGAUUUUAAACCAAU
rnacentral:lncRNA from 1 species